GGGAACCUCCUGAAUGAACACCACUGGCCACUCUCAUAGUCAGCCAGAAGACGAAGAUAAAUCUUUAAAUAUGGCUGUAUGAGUGAUGCUAGCAGAGCCCAGAGGCGGGGCACGAGGGGGACACACCCAGGGGAUGUUUCCUAGAGGAGUCAAAAGCUUCAGUCACUCUCUGAUGAGCAGAGAUGAAAACCAGAAGCAGGCUGCAGUAUCUCAGUGACACAGCCCAGCUCUGGCAGGCAGCGGUCCUGGCUUCCAUUCCGACCCAGGCAGAGAGCACUGCCUGAGCGAAGGCUGGGAAGGUGUGGGACUCUGGCCACAGGCUCCCUGGGGAGUGCUGGGGAGAGAGAGCAGUGUGCAGAAGCCCCCCACCUCGCCCAUCUAUUAACUCACCCAGACAAACCUGAACCGCGGAAGUGUGGGAAAUAAGUGUGGAGACAGGAGAGAUGGCUCAGCCCUUAAGAGCACGUUUGAGUCCCAACACCCACGCGGCAGCUCACAAGACUGUAACUCCGGUUUCAGAGGAUCCAACCAUGUCAUCUGGCCUCCUUGGGCACCAGCACCUGGAAUUGAUUCACGGUUUGGAUGUCCCAGGACUGAUGAAAACAGUAUCCAGUUCCCUUUACUGGGUAAUGGCGACCAAUAUCUUUGCUAUGACAAAUACUGUCCUAUCCAUCUUCAUCUACUUACCCCUUUGUGGACCCAUCAACGUUUACCUGUUGAGUACGUUCUAAACAGGAAGGCUACAUUUCUUCUCCACUUGAACGGUCACUACCAAGUUAUGCUCCGAAAGGCAAGGCCACCUUACUCUUCAUUUCCAGCAGCCCGUGAACGUUUCCCCACUCCCAGAUAACCUUUACUACGCUCAUUGGUGACAGCAUCUGCUUUCCUGGUAGUCUUAGUGACAUUAAAUAUCGGUUAGUGCGCUGUCUGUCCAUCCCAGUUCUGAGAACCUCCUCAUCACACGUGGCACGGUUUUGGUAGAAACCUUUCUUUGCGUUUCAGCGAGGCUUCAGUAGCAACUCGGUCCUCUGUGACUGCUGUGUCCAGGACUCCAAGAGCAUGUGGACCCCGGCGGGGUUAAAGGCAGCAGGGAGCUCCUGUGUGGCCCGUCCUGAGAGAGUCACAGCCCCGAAUCUCACAAGACUGGAAGAGGCAUUUGAUCACAAGCUGGCCCCCUUAGUAUCACCAGGAAACAAGGCCAAACGAGUCACGGGCUCCUGUCCUUUGAUGAGAGCGUGAGAGCGGUGUGCAUGAGUCAGGUUCGAGUGUUGAAAAUGUCCAUCAAAACAACAACAAGGGGUUGGGGAUUUAGCUCAGUGGUAGAGCGCUUGCCUAGCAAGCUCAAGGCCCUGGGUUCGGUCCCCAGCUCCGAAAAAAAGAAAAAGAAAAAAAAAAAAAAAAAAAACAACAACAACAAAACAGAAGCAAAAAAGGAAAUGCGCUGGCUUUGGGCGCGGCUGGAUCCAGGUACUCAGACACGGUCACCGCCCCUCUGUCUGUCGGCAUCUUCCACUCUGCUUCCCGCUCCUCCUGGCUCCAUUUCUAACGUAGCUGAGCUAGAAGGGCCCCAGGAACUGGCGGCCCACGUGAAUUCAACAGCCCAGGAGAUAGCAUAAAGAUGUCGCGACUGGCUGGGGUUUGAUCCUUCUGGGUCACAUGACUGACAGAGCUGGGUAACAAAUCGUACAGAAGAGGCCGAUGUAGAUCUGAGAGAUGAAGGCAAGUCGUGCAUGAGGCACGUGUGCCUAGAAGGGAGAUGGGAAAAUUCAACGGCCCUUACCAAAAGAAAGGGCCCCAGCUACUGACACCAGAGUUGAAGUCGAGCUUUGUCCCCAUUCAGUAGCCCCAGGCAAAUCACCUCUCUUGGGACCCGAAGUUCCCCCUGCUGUAAUGUCCAACUUAAAGUCAGUAGCUGAUCCCGGAACCUUCUAGAAGCAGAAGAAUGCUUUAGAGUUCAAUGAAUAAUAGAGGGGAGCCCAAUACAAAACAAACGAAAAGCUCUGUUCUGUUGAAAGUUUUAUCUUAUCUGCUUAAUCGAGUAUUAGGCCAGGAAUAACCAGAGUGUGCUGUCAUACGCACAUCAACAGCUCAGCAUCUUAACAAAGACUGGCUUCUCGCUGGUGAGUACAGCUCAGAGAACCGUUCUUGGGAGUUCUCCCCCACACCCCCAGCCAGUCACCCUGAGUCCCACCUUCAACACCAUUUCUCAUUCAAUCAUAGUAAAGGCCUAGCCUCUAUGGAAGGAGAGAAGGAACAUCCACUAUUGCCCACACCCCAGUUGGACCUCAGCAUCUGUCACGCGCGUCGAUUCGCAGGCCAGGGACCCUGGUAAAAAUCCACCUGAUGAGGAAAAACCACCCUGGUUUUGGUACCUCUGCCAUAAAGUGUCUUAGUUUGGGUUUUAUUGCUGUGAAGAGACACCGUGACUAAGAGAACUCUUAUAAAAAGAAAACAUUUCAUUGUGGCUGGCUUAGAGUUUCAGAGGUUCAGUCCAUCAUCA